UACGGAGGGAGCGAGCGUUGUUCGGAAUUACUGGGCGUAAAGCGUAUGUAGGCGGCUUCGUAAGACAGGUGUGAAAUCCCAGGGCUUAACCUUGGAACUGCAUUUGCGACUGCAAGGCUUGAGUAUCGGAGAGGUUGGCGGAAUUCCCAGUGUAGCAGUGAAAUGCGCAGAUAUUCGCAAGAACACCAGUGGCGAAGGCGGCUCACUGGCCCGGUACUGACGCUGAGGUGCGAAAGCGUGGGGAGCAAACAGG
rnacentral:rRNA from 1 species